rnacentral:rRNA from 1 species
AAUACAACUUUCAACAACGGAUCUCUUGGCUCUCGCAUCGAUGAAGAACGCAGCGAAAUGCGAUAAGUAAUGUGAAUUGCAGAAUUCAGUGAAUCAUCGAAUCUUUGAACGCACCUUGCGCUCCUUGGUAUUCCGAGGAGCAUGCCUGUUUGAGUGUCAUUAAAUUCUCAACCUU